rnacentral:rRNA from 1 species
AAUCAACGCUGGCGGCGUGCCUCAGACAUGCAAGCCGAACGAUUAAAGCUCUCUUCGGAGAGUGCAUAGAGUGGCGCACGGGUGAGUAACACGUAAGUAAUCUACCUUCGAGUGGGGAAUAACGUCCGGAAACGGACGCUAAUACCGCAUAAUGCAGCGGCAUCGUAAGAUGACAGUUGUUAAAGGAGCAAUUCGCUUGAAGAGGAGCUUGCGGCAGAUUAGCUAGUUGGUAAGGUAAUGGCUUACCAAGGCUACGAUCUGUAUCCGGUCUAAGAGGACGGUCGGACACACUGACACUGAAUAACGGGUCAGACUCCUACGGGAGGCAGCAGUCGGGAAUUUUGGGCAAUGGGGGAAACCCUGACCCAGCAACGCCGCGUGAAGGAUGAAGUUUUUCGGAAUGUAAACUUCGAAAGAAUAGGAAGAAUCAAUGACGGUACUAUUUAUAAGGUCCGGCUAACUACGUGCCAGCCGCCGCGGUAAUAC